UACGAAGGGGGCGAGCGUUGUUCGGAAUUACUGGGCGUAAAGGGCGCGUAGGCGGCCGAUCAAGUCAGAUGUGAAAGUCCUGGGCUUAACCUGGGGACUGCAUUUGAUACUGAUUGGCUUGAAUUCGGGAGAGGAUAGCGGAAUUCCCAGUGUAGAGGUGAAAUGCGUAGAUAUUGGGAGGAACACCAGUGGCGAAGGCGGCUCACUGGACCGGAACUGACGCUGAGGUGCGAAAGCGUGGGGAGCAAACAGG
rnacentral:rRNA from 1 species